rnacentral:rRNA from 1 species
GAUGAACGCUGGCGGCGUGCCUAAUACAUGCAAGUCGAGCGAACGGACGAGAAGCUUGCUUUUCUGAUGUUAGCGGCGGACGGGUGAGUAACACGUGGAUAACCUACCUAUAAGACUGGGAUAACUUCGGGAAACCGGAGCUAAUACCGGAUAAUAUUUUGAACCGCAUGGUUCAAAAGUGAAAGACGGUCUUGCUGUCACUUAUAGAUGGAUCCGCGCUGCAUUAGCUAGUUGGUAAGGUAACGGCUUACCAAGGCAGCGAUGCAUAGCCGACCUGAGAGGGUGAUCGACCACACUGGAGCUGGGACACGGUCCAGACCCCUACGGGAGGCAGCAGUAGGGAAUCUACCGCAAUGGGCAAAAGCCUGACGGAGCAACGCGGCGUAAGUGAUAAAGGUCUUCGGAUCGUAAAACUCUGUAUUAGGGAAGAACAUAUGUGUAAGUAACUGUGCACAUCUUGACGGUACCUAAUCAGAAAGCCACGGCUAACUACGUG